rnacentral:SRP_RNA from 1 species
UCGUGCUAGAUGGGGAAUUAGCGGUGCCCUGUAACCUGCAAUCCGCUAUAGCAGGAUUGAUGCUUGUUNGAGGNAGAUGCUGAUCAUUAAGCAUAGAUUAAGUGACGUUGAAAUUUCAGUUCUUCGCAAUGGUUUUACACUAAAACCCGUCAGGACCGGAAGGUAGCAGCGGUAGGUGCUUAGAAUUAUGUGCCUUAGAAACUUUGAAAUGGAGCUAACUGAUUAAUUGAAUAAUGAAUCCAGAUUUUUCAACUUCAUGCGCACGA